rnacentral:rRNA from 1 species
AUUGAACGCUGGCGGCAGGCCUAACACAUGCAAGUCGAGCGAGCGGCGGACGGGUGAGUAAUGUAUGGGGACUGCCCGAUAGAGGGGGAUAACUACUGGAAACGGUAGCUAAUACCGCAUCCUAUCGGAUAACCCAUAUGGGAUUAGCUAGUAGGUGGGGUAAUGGCUCACCUAGGCGACGAUCCCUCGCUGGUCUGAGAGGAUGAUCAGCCAAACUGGAACGGGGAAACGGCCAGGACCCCUACGGAGGAGGCAGUGGGGAAUAUUGCACAAUGGGCGAAAGCCGGAUGCAGCCAUGCGGGGUGGAUGAGGAAGGCCUUAGGGUGGUAAAGUACGUUCAGUGGGGAGGCGUUACCGAAAGAAGAAGCACCGGCUAACUCCGUGCCAGCAGCCGCGGUAAUAC